UUCGUCGAGGGGCGCUGCGACCGUGUCGAGACCGGGACUCCCGUGCUGCAGACCCGGCCAGGCUCGGCGGACGGCAUCAGCGACAACGGCGCCCGGACUUC
rnacentral:ncRNA from 2 species